UACGUAGGGUGCGAGCGUUAAUCGGAUUUACUGGGCGUAAAGCGUGCGCAGGCGGCCCGUUAAGACAGGUGUGAAAUCCCUGGGCUCAACCUAGGAAUUGCGCUUGUGACUGGCGGGCUCGAGUACGGUUGAGGGGGGUGGAAUUCCUGGUGUAGCAGUGAAAUGCGUAGAGAUCAGGAGGAACACCGAUGGCGAAGGCAGCCCCCUGGGCCUGUACUGACGCUCAUGCACGAAAGCGUGGGGAGCAAACAGG
rnacentral:rRNA from 1 species